rnacentral:rRNA from 1 species
GAUGAACGCUGGCGGCGUGCCUAAUACAUGCAAGUCGAGCGAACAGACGAGGAGCUUGCUCCUCUGACGUUAGCGGCGGACGGGUGAGUAACACGUGGAUAACCUACCUAUAAGACUGGGAUAACUUCGGGAAGCCGGAGCUAAUACCGGAUAAUAUAUUGAACCGCAGGGUUCAAUAGUGAAAGACGGUUUUGCUGUCACGUAUAGAUGGAUCCGCGCCGCAUUAGCUAGUUGGUAAGGUAACGGCUUACCAAGGCGACGAUGCGUAGCCGACCUGAGAGGGUGAUCGGCCACACUGGAACUGAGACACGGUCCAGACUCCUACGGGAGGCAGCAGUAGGGAAUCUUCCGCAAUGGGCGAAAGCCUGACGGAGCAACGCCGCGUGAGUGAUGACGGUCUUCGGAUCGUAAAACUCUGUUAUUAGGGAAGAACAAAUGUGUAAGUAACUAUGCACGUCUUGACGGUACCUAAUCAGAAAGCCACGGCUAACUACGUG